GUGGGGAAUUUUGGACAAUGGGCGCAAGCCUGAUCCAGCCAUGCCGCGUGCAGGAUGAAGGCCUUCGGGUUGUAAACUGCUUUUGUACGGAACGAAAAGACUCUUUCUAAUAAAGAGGGUCCAUGACGGUACCGUAAGAAUAAGCACCGGCUAACUACGUGCCAGCAGCCGCGGUAAUACGUAGGGUGCGAGCGUUAAUCGGAAUUACUGGGCGUAAAGCGUGCGCAGGCGGUGAUGUAAGACAGAUGUGAAAUCCCCGGGCUAAACCUGGGAACUGCAUUUGUGACUGCAGCGCUGGAGUGCGGCAGAGGGGGAUGGAAUUCCGCGUGUAGCAGUGAAAUGCGUAGAUAUGCGGAGGAACACCGAUGGCGAAGGCAAUCCCCUGGGCCUGCACUGACGCUCAUGCACGAAAGCGUGGGGAGCAAACAGGAUUAGAAACCCUAGUAGUCC
rnacentral:rRNA from 1 species